GUGGGGUGUGUGGCAUGCCUGGAGAGGUUAUGGAAACUCUGCACCACCACCCCCGUACCUCGCCCUGUGCAUCUUCCGCUUGGCUGUUCCUGAGUUGCGGUCUUUGUAAUAAACCAGUAAAUAGGCGCCGCCCUGCAGAGUCCUGCAAUGGUUAUGAGAACAGAACCUGAGGCUAAGAGGCUCUUGGGAGUUGGAGCUCAGGCCCUCGCUGUGGAUAGGAAACAGCAUCCCUGCAAAAUGAGAACGAGGAGAGCACUGGGUUGUCACCUGAUUCUGAGUCUCCAGAGUGUCCUUCUGAAUCUCUGCACUUGCUCUGAAAUUGUUGCUGCUGCAAGGAAAAAAACAAGGCCCCCGGCUUUCACUUAUUCAUUCAACAACUGUGUUGUGACCAUCUGCCUUGUGCUGGUGCUGUACUCGCUGGGGAGACUGGAAGGAUCCUGAGGGAAGAAGGGACUCUUCCGUUCAUUGCCGUGUCGCCAUUUAAUACUGCAUGUGACACUCAGUGAGUACUCAGUAGAUAUUUAUCGGAUGAAUGACUAUUCACCUCUCGCAUCCUUGAAAAGAAUACUUUAUGACCAAGAGAAAUGAAUGACUAUGAAGAAUGAAAUAAAAGGUCCUCGCUUGUCUGUGUAAAUGAAAAGAAACUUUCCAGGGCUGGUUCCUGGGAGCACAAAGCACAAGGAGAUGAAUCAGGCACCCGCUGACUAGAAAUGAGACUUGUUGAUUUUGUCAUUAGUAUUCCAUAUUUAUCCCAAGACUUUCCACCCAAUCAGGAGGGAACUCCCUGAGUCCCAGGCAGGAUCACAGCAAAGCAAUCUAAGACGAAGAGCUGAAAUUAAUUCAGUUUUCUUCCUGAAAGGCCUGAGCUCCCAAAGAGGUCAGGAUGCCCGGGGAGGACAGCAGCGCCCACCCAGGCUGAAGGAGCCAAGGAAGUAACCGGAACGGCUUCACCGGAUUCACGAUGGCUUUGAAGCCACGUUAAGUAUCAGCGGACUCGCUAUGGAA